ensembl:lincRNA Gm37494 predicted gene, 37494
AGUGUUGUGUGUAGGUUCUCCGUGGCGGACAGGGGUACGAGUGGGCCCCGCUUUCGGCGCUGGUACCAGGAGCUCUGAGAGGAACGUGGGCGAGCUCGGAAGCUGCGCCAUGGAUCUCGGGUUUCCCAGGUUGGCCUCAAACUUUCUCUUAGCUGAGGAGGACCUUGAACUUCUGAUCCCGCUACCCAAACCCACCUCCAGAGUGCUGGGAUUAAGGGUGUGUGACUAUAAGCCCCUUUGUGUGUGUGUGUGUGUGUGUGUUUCUGGGGAAGGAACCUAGGGCUUCGUGGUAGUAGUCAAACAUUCGAUCCGAUUCUGAGUAUAUCUUACAAGAUAAUGUUUAGAUCAACUUUCUGUUAUUUUUAGCAUAAAUUGUGAGGAUUUGAUGUGUUGAAUUUGUAGAUCAAAAUGACAACUGUCAUAAUUUUGAGGCUUCUUCCCAAAACCAUGGAAAUCUCUCCACUUACUAAGGUCUUUGAUUGUUUUUAUAUUAGAAAUGUAUGAUUUUUGUGUACAGAUGUUAAUUACAUUAAUAUGCAAAUAUGUCUCACUUUAUCCUUGCUAUAUAAGCUGUGUGGUGGUUUUAAUUUUCCAUCCAAAUGCCAAUGUACAUAC